UACGGAGAGUGCGAACGUUGUUCGGAUUCACUGGGCGUAAAGGGCACGUAGGCGGCUUGGCAAAUCGGUCGUGGAAUCCCGACGCUUACCGUCGGAACGGCGGCCGAAAAUACCGAGCUCGAGGGCGUGAGGGGUCACUGGAACUCCUGGUGAAGCGGUGAAAUGCGUAGAUAUCAGGAGGAACGCCGGAGGCGAAAGCGAGUGACUGGCGCGUUCCUGACGCUGAGGAGCGAAAGCGUGGGGAGCGAACAGG
rnacentral:rRNA from 1 species